rnacentral:rRNA from 1 species
GAUGAACGCUGGCGGCGUGCCUAAUACAUGCAAGUCGAGCGAACAGACGAGGAGCUUGCUCCUCUGACGUUAGCGGCGGACGGGUGAGUAACACGUGGAUAACCUACCUAUAAGACUGGGAUAACUUCGGGAAACCGGAGCUAAUACCGGAUAAUAUAUUGAACCGCAUGGUUCAAUAGUGAAAGACGGUUUUGCUGUCACUUAUAGAUGGAUCCGCGCCGGAUUAGCUAGUUGGUAAGGUAACGGCUUACCAAGGCAACGAUGCGUAGCCGACCUGAGAGGAUGAUCGGCCACACUGGAACUGAGACACGGUCCAGACUCCUACGGGAGGCAGCAGUAGGGAAUCUUCCGCAAUGGGCGCAAGCCUGACGGAGCAACGCCGCGUGAGUGAUGAAGGUCUUCGGAUCGUAAAACUCUGUUAUUAGGGAAGAACAACUGUGUAAGUAACUAUGCACGUCUUGACGGUACCUAAUCAGAAAGCCACGGCUAACUACGUG